GCACCGUGAACCCCUCAACUCAGCCUCAGGAGAGAGCGAGCACUAGGCCUAAUAAAGGGCAGUAACAAAAGGCGCUCUGAGAAGACCCACUCAAAGUUUGGGUGUCGUCGAGGGUCCCAGGUGCCCGCCCUCACCCACAGCGCUGUGGCCACACUGCCGCUCCAGACCCUUUUUGGGCCAAGAGGCAAAGGUCUGGCGGGCACACGUCUGAGAGAGCUGUACUAGGGCAGCCCCGAGGGUGGGCGCCCCUACUCCUCCUCGUAGCAACCGCCGGCCACCCCCGGGCCUCGAGGCAGCUCCGCGCUUGGAGCCUGAAUACAGGAGAAACAGGUGACUGCAGAUCAGACUGCUCUGGGACCUGUAACAGGAGUGAUUGAGAUUGUCACAACCUGGGGACAUAAACUUAGGCCCUUGUUUGUUACUAAUAAAAGAUUGUAUAUGAAGAUGUAGGAGAACGGGUCUAGGAAAAACAUUCUAAGAAGCAUGGCUGUGAAAAUACUUCCUUUGUAUGUGUCUUAUUUUUAAAAAAUAAAUCAAGAAAAUGUCCUACGUUUCACUCAA